GCUAUCUUUGUCUGUUCCUGCUGCUAUAUUAAAAUACCUGAGCCUGGGUAAUGUACAAAGAACAGACAUUUAUUUCUAAUGGUUCUGGAAGCUGGAAGUCCAAGAUGAAGGUGACAGCAGGUUUGGUGUCUGGUGAAGGCCUUGUCUUUGUUUCCAAAGAUGUUUGGAAACCUUGUUGCUGUGCCCUCUGGAGGGAACAACCACUAUGUCCUUACAUGGAGGAAGGGACAGAAGGUCAUAAAAAGGAACUGGGUGCUUCCUUCAACCUCCUUUAUAAAGUUACUAAUCCUAUUCCUGAGGGAUUAGUCAUGACCUCAUGACUUAACCAUCCCCUAAAGGUGCUAUCUCUGAAUACUAUCAUAUUGGUGAUUAAAUAACAACAUAUAAUUUUGGGAGGCACAUUCAGACCUUAGCAUUUCACCCCUGAACCUCAAAAUGUAUGUCCUUUUCACAUGCAAAAUAUAUUCAUCACAUUCCAAUAGCCCCAAAAGUCUUAACUCAUUUCAGCACCAACUCGAAAGUCUAAAGUCCGGAGUCUCAUCUGAAUCAGACGUAUGAGACUCAAGGUAUGAUUCAACCUGAGGGAAAUUUCCCUGCACCUCUGAACCUGUGAAAUCAGAAAGGUUAUCUACUUCCACAAUACAAUGGUGAGACAGGCGUAGGAUAGACAUUCCCAUUCCAAAAGAAAGAAAUAGGAAAGCCGUUAUUAUAAUUCUUAUUUUCCUCUUGCCAUUGUUUUGCCAUGAUUAUUAUGAUUAUUAUUAUUAUUUGUAUUGAAGCAGAGUCUAUUUAACUUGACUUUACUAUAUUUAUUGUCUUUAUAACCCAAGGCAUAGGGGCAGGGGGAAACUCCCAAAAGACAUUCUUUUUUUGUGCCUUUACUCAAGGCAAGUCAUUCCAAACAUUUCUUAAUGCAUUUGGAAAGAGAAUCAAUAAGAACAGUGCCUCAAGUUAACUUUCAUUGCCCUCCAGGACAGUUUCCAAUCCCCUGGGCAGAAGUAAUAUCUUCUCUGAAGUCUGAGGCAGCACUUUGUCAGGGGAAGCACAAAUGCUACUUGUGGAGGACAGAGUUAUUUUGUUCUUUACUCUGAGUUUGCACUCUAUGAAAACUCUGUGUUAACAUCAUUGGCAGAGAAAUUCAAUUUCCUCCCUCUGAGUGGGAAGGAACUUCUCUUGGAAGGAGUUUUCUUGCUUUAUUUCCUACAAUUAGAGCCUCUUUUCUACUUGACUUAAGGGUUUUUUGUUUUGUUUUGUUUUUCUAAACAUUCAAUUUCCUGGAAGUUCUAGGGAUACAGUGGUGAACAAGAAGAAUAAGACCUCUGCCCUCAUUGAGCUUAUACACUAGUAAUUUUAAGGGUGCUUUCUCUCUUUCUCUGGGGUGCAUUUCACUUAAAUUUAAGCAAAAACUAUGGGAGAAGUUUUAUAAACAGUUCCUAGAUUGAAAUUUUAAAUUAAAAAGCCAAUGUUUGUUUGAAAGGUGCACUAGGAAAAGAAAGUUCCAAAUAUAUUCCAUAGGUAAUUUUUGAAUAUGGCAAAUAUUACAUUUUAAAAUUAGUCAGGGUGAGAAAUGUAACUGCUUUAUAUAGAAUAUAUAAAGGUAUCUGUUUACCUUUUAGCUGUAUUUUCUUGUUAGAUAAGCCAGGGAGCAAAGUACAUAGAGGAUCAUGAAUGGUUUGCAGUGAUUCAAUACAGCUUGUUCAACAGAGACAUUCACAUGACCAAUUUUAUCAAUACAUAAAUAUAAUACCUGAGCAAGCUUAAAAUAUGCUGCUAAGGAAAAGUAGUGACAUUGUCAGGGCUAGAGGAUGCAAGAAAAAUACAAGCACAAAAUAAUAAAAAACUGUUAAAGUUGGAUACCAACUCAGAGUUCUAAUCUACCUGUCCUAUUGCAGAAGUUACUUCAACAGCUUCUACUUCACUGACAAAGAAUAUUCUAGAUCCUGCUUGGCACAGCUAUUGAGAGAAUAAAAUGUUGUGGCUGGGGGAGGGGUCUUAUGUGUGCUGCUGCCCAAGGUCCUGAAAGUUGCUUUUGCUAUAAUAUGUUUUGUUCUAGUAGUCCUGGGAUAAAGGUGGCUCCUGUUCAAUCUUGUUUCAGUAAUCUUGAACCAAGUGGGAAAAGGGGAGUGUUAGGAGAGACAACGGGAAAGGGAGAAGAAAAGAGAGAAUAAAGGGAAGGAGGACGGGACAUAGCCUUUAAAGAAUGUCAGAAAAAAAUAGUCCUUGAUUUCUCAAUCAUGUUCAAAUAAUAGCAGUAACCGACAAAGAAAAUGUCUUUUAUUUUUGAUAUAGUGGAUGUGUUGGUUUGUUCAGGCUGUAUAACAAAAUACCAUAGACUUGGUGGCUUAUUUACAGCAGAGCUUUUUUUUCUCACAUUUCUGGAACCUGUGUCUGGAACCUGGGAAGUCCAACUUCAAAGCACUGACACAUUUGGUGUCUGAUGAUGUCCGGCUUUCUCAUAGACGGCUACCUUCUUCUCACUGUUACCUCAUAUGGUGGAAGAGAAAGUAUCAUCUGCCAGGAUUCUCAGUCCUGGACAGCAAGCAGUUAACCCUGGGGAAGGGAGAAAGGAGAAGACAAUGGAGGAAUGGUCUUCAUUUCCAGGGGCAUCUGCUUCCCAAAAUGAAACAUUUGGAAGUUUUUUGAGGGCUCAAGAAGGGAGCUCUAAAAUGCAACAUGUGAAGUGAGGUUAUUUAAAUUCUGAUCUAACUGUGUGGCCUAUCUUCAUGCCUGCAUUAAAAUUGUUCAGACUUUGA